rnacentral:rRNA from 1 species
CCUACGGGGGGCAGCAGUGGGGAAUUUUCCGCAAUGGGCGAAAGCCUGACGGAGCAAGACCGCGUGAGGGAGGAAGGCCCUUGGGUUGUAAACCUCUUUUCUCAGGGAAGAAGAAAGUGACGGUACCUGAGGAAUCAGCCUCGGCUAACUCCGUGCCAGCAGCCGCGGUAAGACGGAGGAGGCAAGCGUUAUCCGGAAUUAUUGGGCGUAAAGCGUCCGUAGGUGGCUGCUCAAGUCUGCCGUCAAAGCACAGGGCUUAACUCUGUCAAGGCGGU